AACGAACGCUGGCGGCAGGCUUAACACAUGCAAGUCGAACGAGAAGCCUGGCUUCGGUCAGGUGGAAAGUGGCAGACGGGUGAGUAACGCGUGGGAACGUACCCUUUGGUUCGGAACAACUCCGGGAAACUGGAGCUAAUACCGGAUGUGCCCUUCGGGGGAAAGAUUUAUCGCCAAGGGAUCGGCCCGCGUCGGAUUAGCUUGUUGGUGGGUAACGGCCUACCAAGGCUAUGAUCCGUAGCUGGUCUGAGAGGAUGAUCAGCCACACUGGGACUGAGACACGGCCCAGACACCUACGGGUGGCAG
rnacentral:rRNA from 1 species